UACGUAGGUGACAAGCGUUAUCCGGGAAUUACUGGGCGUAAAGCGCACGUAGGCGGCUUCUUAAGUCAGGGGUGAAAUCCUGGAGCUCAACUCCAGAACUGCCUUUGAUACUGAGGAGCUAGAGUCCGGGAGAGGUGAGUGGAACUGCGAGUGUAGAGGUGAAAUUCGUAGAUAUUCGCAAGAACACCAGUGGCGAAGGCGGCUCACUGGCCCGGUACUGACGCUGAGGUGCGAAAGCGUGGGGAGCAAACAGG
rnacentral:rRNA from 1 species